rnacentral:rRNA from 1 species
GAUGAACGCUGGCGGCGUGCCUAAUACAUGCAAGUCGAGCGAACAGAUGAGGAGCUUGCUCCUCUGACGUUAGCGGCGGACGGGUGAGUAACACGUGGAUAACCUACCUAUCAGACUGGGAUAACUUCGGGAAACCGGAGCUAAUACCGGAUAAUAUCUUGCACCGCAUGGUUCAAUAGUGAAAGACGGUUUUGCUGUCACUUAUAGAUGGAUCCGCGCCGCAUUAGCUAGUUGGUAAGGUAACGGCUUACCAAGGCUACGAUGCGUAGCCGACCUGAGAGGGUGAUCGGCCACACUGGAACUGAGACACGGUCCAGACUCCUACGGGAGGCAGCAGUAGGGAAUCUUCGGCAAUGGGCGAAAGCCUGACGGAGCAACGCCGCGUGAGUGAUGAAGGUCUUCGGAUCGUAAAACUCUGUUAUUAGGGAAGAACAAAUGUGUAAGUAACUAUGCACGUCUUGACGGUACCUAAUCAGAAAGCCACGGCUAACUACGUG